AGUGUAGGUGGUUGUCCAAGUUGGAUGUGAAAGCCUUGAGCUCAACUCAAGAAAUGCAUUCAGGACUGGAUGGCUAGAGGACCGGAGAGGAUAGUGGAAUUCCCAGUGUAGUGGUGAAAUACGUAGAGAUUGGGAAGAACACCAGUGGCGAAGGCGGCUAUCUGGACGGUUUCUGACACUAAGACUCGAAAGCGUGGGAGCAAACA
rnacentral:rRNA from 1 species